ACUAAUUAGGGUUUUUGAUUUUUUUUCCCAAUCUCCGCUCCUUCCUCGGCUCCUCCAUCUCCGAUUAAAUUCGAUUGAUCGGUGAGUUUCUUCACCGCCGACGAAACCACCGCAGCAGGUCUUCCUUUCUUCAUGUCGACGCUCCAUCUCCGAUCAAAUCCGCUUAAUCGGAGAGUUUCUACAACACCGCGUCUUACGCCGACGGAACCACCACAUCUUACGCCGACGGAACCACCGCAUCUUACGCCGACGGAACCACCGCAUCAGGUCUUCCUUUCUUCAUGUCUACGCUCCUCAGCUUCUACAUCUCCGUUCAAUUCCGCUUUACUAGAGAGAUUCUACACCUCCGGAUCUGACAACAACCUCUACGGAUCUGAUUCGUCGACAAAAUCCUUUACCAGCAAGGCUACUGUUGGACCAUGCAAUACAUUGAAAUGAGGAGGCAGAGUACAUGGGAAAGGGUGAUAGAGAUUGAUCUCGAUAUUGUUUGUCAGAUUGGUUGAUCGUGUUGAAAAAUUAGAAAAAAUAAGAAAAAUAGUAGAAUUGUCACAAUUUUGCAGGUUUGAAGUAGAUUGAUCACUUGGAGCAAUAAGAAUCACAAUCAAUUCUCCCUCAGGUUGGUUUAUUGAUCAUAAUGAUUGUUGGUUGUUGUAUGUGUCUCUGAGAAGAAGUUACUUGGUCGGUUUUGUGAACUAUGACUGAUUAUAUUGCUGACUUUUUUUACUGCAAGCCUACCAGGUUAUGUGACCUAUAAUGAGGUAUUGAAUUCUAGUGAUUCAAGACUCUUGAAGCUUACAAAAAGUAAACUCAGUACGUUUAAGAUUAGGUGUUUGCAAGCUGGUUGUUGUCAUGUGUGUUCUUCUUUUGAUCGAGAAAACUUAAUCAAUCUUAAACUGAAACUUGCUUGCAGAAACAUCAUGGUCCAGGGACAUAUGGUCUAACUAUAUAUGACCCUUAACCAAAAUGAGAUAUCAUCCCUUUGGUUUUGUUUCAUUUACUUUCUCAGGUCUUUGAAAGAAGACAUGAUAUAAGCAUUUCUAGAUGCAUUAAGUCUCUUAGAUUA